AUUGAACGCUGGCGGCAUGCUUUACACAUGCAAGUCGAACGGCAGCACGGGGGCAACCCUGGUGGCGAGUGGCGAACGGGUGAGUAAUGCAUCGGAACGUGCCCUGUCGUGGGGGAUAACACAUCGAAAGAUGUGCUAAUACCGCAUACGACCUGAGGGUGAAAGCGGGGGACCGUAAGGCCUCGCGCGAUAGGAGCGGCCGAUGUCUGAUUAGCUAGUUGGUGGGGUAAAGGCCUACCAAGGCGACGAUCAGUAGCUGGUCUGAGAGGACGACCAGCCACACUGGGACUGAGACACGGCCCAGACUCCUACGGGAGGCAGCAGUGGGGAAUUUUGGACAAUGGGGGCAACCCUGAUCCAGCCAUGCCGCGUGCGGGAAGAAGGCCUUCGGGUUGUAAACCGCUUUUGGCAGGAACGAAACGGUGCGGGCGAAUACCCUGUGCUAAUGACGGUACCUGCAGAAUAAGCACCGGCUAACUACGUGCCAGCCGCCGCUGUAACAC
rnacentral:rRNA from 1 species